GCGGCUGACCCUCUGCCAGCUGGGACCGGAGUCGCGAGGCGGCGGCCAUGGCGGGGUCGGAGAGCCAGCUCAAGAAAAUGGUGUCCAAGUACAAAUACAGAGACCUAACUGUACGUGAAACUGUUAACGUUAUUACUUUAUACAAAGAUCUCAAACCUGUAUUGGAUUCAUAUGUUUUUAAUGAUGGCAGUUCCAGGGAACUAAUGAACCUUACUGGAACAAUUCCUGUGCCUUAUAGAGGUAAAUGUCUUAUGUGAUUUAUU